UACGGAGGGGGCUAGCGUUGUUCGGAAUUACUGGGCGUAAAGCGCACGUAGGCGGAUAUUUAAGCCAGGGGUGAAAUCCCGGGGCUCAACCCCGGAACUGCCUUUGAUACUGGGUAUCUGGAGGUCGAGAGAGGCGAGUGGAAUUCCGAGUGUAGAGGUGAAAUUCGUAGAUAUUCGGAGGAACACCAGUGGCGAAGGCGGCUCGCUGGCUCGAUACUGACGCUGAGGUGCGAAAGCGUGGGGAGCAAACAGG
rnacentral:rRNA from 1 species